GCCCAGGUGGCGGAAUGGUAUACGCACUAGGUUGAGGGCCUAGGCUGCUUCGGCGGCGUGCGGGUUCGAGUCCCGCCCUGGGCA
rfam:Parcubacteria bacterium GW2011_GWA2_46_10 TX29_C0013, whole genome shotgun sequence.